UAAUACAGAGGUGGCUAGCGUUGUUCGGAAUUACUGGGCGUAAAGGGAGCGCAGGCGGCUAAACAAGUCUGGAGUGCAAGCCCGGGGCUCAACCCCGGAAUUGCUUUGGAUACUGUUUGGCUUGAGUACGUCAGAGGUGAGCGGAAUUCCAGGUGUAGCGGUGAAAUGCGUAGAUAUCUGGAGGAACAUCCGUGGCGAAAGCGGCUCACUGGGACGACACUGACGCUGAGGCUCGAAAGCGUGGGGAGCGAACGGGAUUAGAUACCCCGGUAGUCCACGCUGUAAACGUUGUGCACUAGGUGUGAGGGGUGUCUACCCCCUUCGUGCCGUAGCUAACGCAUUAAGUGCACCGCCUGGGGAGUACGGUCGCAAGACUG
rnacentral:rRNA from 1 species